rnacentral:rRNA from 1 species
UACGAAGGGGCUAGCGUUGCUCGGAAUCACUGGGCGUAAAGGGUGCGUAGGCGGGUCUUUUAAGUCAGGGGUGAAAUCCUGGAGCUCAACUCCAGAACUGCCUUUGAUACUGAGGAUCUUGAGUUCGGGAGAGGUGAGUGGAACUGCGAGUGUAGAGGUGAAAUUCGUAGAUAUUCGCAAGAACACCAGUGACGAAGGCGGCUCACUGGCCCGAUACUGACGCUGAGGCACGAAAGCGUGGGGAGCAAACAGGG